UACGUAGGGUCCGAGCGUUAAUCGGAAUUACUGGGCGUAAAGUGUGCGCAGGCGGCCGAGCAAGUCGAGUGUGAAAGCCCCGGGCUUAACUUGGGAAUUGCGCUCAGAAUCUACUUGGCUGGAGUGUGGCAGAGGAAGGUGGAAUUCCAGGUGUAGCGGUGAAAUGCGUAGAGAUCUGGAGGAACACCGAUGGCGAAGGCAGCCUUCUGGGCCAACACUGACGCUCAUGCACGAAAGCGUGGGGAGCGAACAGG
rnacentral:rRNA from 1 species